rnacentral:sRNA from 1 species
GUGGGUGGCACAUUGUGAAUUAAUGUCUGUGAGUGUGUAUACAAGAGAGGAGGUUACUGGGAAGGGUGACGUGGUGAGGCGGGCUUGCCAGUGCAGGGUGACCCUGAGGGUGUGCCCAGUGGCGUGGGUGUGUCUGUGAUUGUGGCCAGGCGGGGCACCCUCGGAGGGGAGGGUUCGGAAGUGGAAUGCGACCCCCCAGCCUCUUUCCCCUAGGGGCUGUAAUCUGAUCCCUGGGGACUCCCCCACUAGCCUCCCGCCCUCGCCCUCACUGCUGACUCCUCUUCCAGAUCCUGGGGCAGAGUCCAGGGCAGCUCAAGGCUCCUCCACACACACACCCGCUGAACCCUGAGCGCCCUGAGCUGCUGAGAUGGGGUGGGCCGGGGCUGCUGCCGUGAUCCCGGGCCUGGCCCUGCUCUGGGCAGUGGGGCUGGGGAGUGCCGCCCCCAGCCCCCCACGCCUUCGGCUCUCCUUCCAAGAGCUCCAGGCUUGGCAUGGUCUCCAGACUUUCAGCCUGGAGCGAACCUGCUGCUACGAGGCCUUGCUGGUGGAUGAGGAGCGUGGACGCCUGUUUGUGGGCGCCGAGAACCAUGUGGCCUCCCUCAACCUGGACAACAUCAGCAAGCGGGCCAAGAAGCUGGCCUGGCCGGCCCCUGUGGAAUGGCGAGAGGAGUGCAACUGGGCAGGGAAGGACAUUGGUACUGAGUGCAUGAACUUCGUGAAGUUGCUGCAUGCCUACAACCGCACCCAUUUGCUGGCCUGUGGCACGGGAGCCUUCCACCCAACCUGUGCCUUUGUGGAAGUGGGCCACCGGGCAGAGGUAAGGCCGGAUCUAGGCAGGGAGCGAGGUCAGGAGGGUAAGAAGGGCCUGGUAGUCACAACUUGCCACACCUCCCAGGAGCCCGUCCUCCGGCUGGACCCAGGAAGGAUAGAGGAUGGCAAGGGGAAGAGUCCUUAUGACCCCAGGCAUCGGGCUGCCUCCGUGCUGGGGAGGAGCUAUACUCAGGGGUGGCAGCAGACCUCAUGGGACGAGACUUUACCAUCUUUCGCAGCCUAGGGCAACGUCCGAGUCUCCGAACAGAGCCACACGACUCCCGCUGGCUCAAUGAGCCCAAGUUUGUCAAGGUAUUUUGGAUCCCGGAGAGCGAGAACCCAGACGACGACAAAAUCUACUUCUUCUUUCGUGAGACGGCGGUAGAGGCGGCGCCGGCACUGGGACGCCUGUCCGUGUCCCGCGUUGGCCAGAUCUGCCGGAACGACGUGGGCGGCCAGCGCAGCCUGGUCAACAAGUGGACGACGUUCCUGAAGGCGCGGCUGGUGUGCUCGGUGCCCGGCGUCGAGGGCGACACCCACUUCGAUCAGCUCCGUGAGUGCGGGAGUGGGUAUGGGGUUGGGGAGGGGGGCAGCGGCGCAGACUCCGGGAGCCCCCGCCGCAGCGGGGCUGUGCGCCCUACCCCAGCUAGGCCCCUUCCCCGCAGAGGAUGUGUUUCUGUUGUCCUCGCGGGACCACCGGACCCCGCUGCUCUAUGCCGUCUUCUCCACGUCCAGCAGCAUCUUCCAGGGCUCUGCGGUGUGCGUGUACAGCAUGAACGACGUGCGCCGGGCCUUCUUGGGACCCUUUGCACACAAGGAGGGGCCCAUGCACCAGUGGGUGUCAUACCAGGGUCGCGUCCCCUACCCGCGGCCAGGCAUGUGUCCCAGCAAGACCUUUGGCACCUUCAGUUCCACCAAGGACUUCCCAGACGAUGUCAUCCAGUUUGCGCGGAACCACCCCCUCAUGUACAACCCUGUCCUGCCCAUUGGGGGGCGCCCUCUUUUCCUACAAGUUGGAGCCAAUUACACCUUCACUCAAAUUGCCGCGGACCGGGUUGCAGCCGCUGACGGACACUAUGACGUCCUCUUCAUUGGCACAGACGCUGGCACGGUGCUGAAGGUGAUCUCGGUCCCCAAGGGCAGUAGGCCCAGCGCAGAGGGGCUGCUCCUGGAGGAGCUGCACGUGUUUGAGGUGAGGCCUCGCCCCCAGUCGCCCGGGACCCCCCCACCCCCCUAAGCCCUGACCCCGUCGCCCCUCCUCCCUCUCAGGACUCGGCCGCUGUCACGAGCAUGCAAAUUUCUUCCAAGAGGCACCAGCUGUACGUAGCCUCGCGGAGCGCGGUGGCCCAGAUCGCGUUGCACCGCUGCGCUGCCCACGGCCGCGUCUGCACCGAAUGCUGUCUGGCGCGUGACCCCUACUGCGCCUGGGACGGGGUCGCGUGCACGCGCUUCCAGCCCAGUGCCAAGAGGCGGUUCCGGCGGCAAGACGUAAGGAAUGGCGACCCCAGCACGUUGUGCUCCGGAGACUCGUCUCGUCCCGCGCUGCUGGAACACAAGGUGUUCGGCGUGGAGGGCAGCAGCGCCUUUCUGGAGUGUGAGCCCCGGUCGCUGCAGGCGCGCGUGGAGUGGACUUUCCAGCGCGCAGGGGUGACAGCCCACACCCAGGUGCUGGCAGAGGAGCGCACCGAGCACACCGCCCGGGGACUACUGCUGCGCAGGCUGCGGCGCCGGGACUCGGGCGUGUACUUGUGCGCCGCCGUCGAGCAGGGCUUUACGCAACCGCUGCGUCGCCUGUCGCUGCACGUGUUGAGUGCUACGCAGGCCGAACGACAGGCGCGGGCCGAGGAGGCUGCGCCCGCCGCGCCGCCGGGCCCCAAACUCUGGUACCGGGACUUUCUGCAGCUGGUGGAGCCGGGCGGCGGUGGCAGCGCGAACUCCCUGCGCAUGUGCCGCCCGCAGCCUGCGCUGCAGUCACUGCCCCUGGAGUCGCGGAGAAAGGGCCGUAACCGGAGGACCCACGCCCCUGAGCCUCGCGCUGAGCGGGGGCCGCGCAGCGCAACGCACUGGUGACUGGACUGUCCCCACGCCGGGAACCAAGCAGGAGACGACAGGCGAGAGAGGAGCCAGACAGACCCUGAAAAGAAGGACGGGUUGGGGCCGGGCACAUUGGGGGUCACCGGCCGAUGGAGACACCAACCGACAGGCCCUGGCUGAGGGCAGCUGCGCGGGCUUAUUUAUUAACAGGAUAACCCUUGAAUGUAGCAGCCCCGGGAGGGCGGCACAGGUCGGGCCCAGGAUUCAGCCGGAGGGAAGGGACGGGGAAGCCGGGCUCCAGAGCAACGACCAGGGCCGAGGAGGUGCCUGGAGUGCCCACCCUGGGAGACAGACCCCACCUCCUUGGGUAGUGAGCAGUGAGCAGAAAGCUGUGAACAGGCUGGGCUGCUGGAGGUGGGGCGAGGCAGGCCGACUGUACUAAAGUAACGCAAUAAACGCAUUAUCAGCC